rnacentral:rRNA from 1 species
CCAAUAGCGUAUAUUAAAGUUGUUGCAGUUAAAAAGCUCGUAGUUGAAUUUCGGGACCAAUGUGCCGGUCGUGCCUCGGUACGCACUGGCUUAUUGGUUUCUCCUUUCUGAAGAACCAUGAUGUCAUUCAUUUGGUGUCGUGGGGAAUCAGGACUGUUACUUUGAAAAAAUUAGAGUGUUUAAAGCAGGCUCACGCUUGAAUACAUUAGCAUGGAAUAAUGAAAUAGGACGUUUGAUUCUAUUUUGUUGAUUUCUAGGAUCGACGUAAUGAUUAAUAGGGAGAGUUGGGGGCAUUAGUAUUCAAUUGUCAGAGGUGAAAUUCUUGGAUUUAUUGAAGACUAACUACUGCGAAAGCAUUUGCCAAGGAUGUUUUCAUUAAUCAAGAACGAAAGUUAGGGGAUCGAAGACGAUCAGAUACCGUCGUAGUCUUAACCAUAAACUAUGCCGACUAGGGAUCGGAUGAUGUUAAUUUUUUAAUGACUCAUUCGGCGCCUUACG